ACCUGUGGUCGAUGGGAUUCCAGGGGGCAGUUCGUCAGACUCAGCUACCAAAACAAGUGGCUUAGUAAAAUGUAGGUGUACCAUAUUAAUACUUAUGAUUUAUUGAUGUUUUCACUGUUUUUGUCAGUGUUUUAAUAAAGAAAAUUAUCAACACUGUCACCAUUUUAAAAAGGCAUUUUGAAUGCAUUUUACAGUCAUUGAUUCACUUGUGCAGUAUGCAUGCUGCUUUGACUGCAUAUGCUGUACUAUAAUCUUAUUACUAGUACUCUUAGAUGUUCCUAAUGUCCUUCUUUAUUAGUUGUAUUUGUUUAAGAAUAUACAUUGAGUAUUGAAUAUGCAUGAUUAUCUUAUUGGUUUAAUUAUCUUGCAGUUGCUGAUGGCCACAUUGUAUUAUUGGAUCCUCCUGCAACACCACACUCUGUCACAGUUGAUGACGAUGAAGAGACCACUUCUGCUGUGACAGAAACAGAAAAUGUGGGGAGGCCCAUAGAGAAUAUGGCAGGAGAUUUUAAUACAGAUGAGGGUCCAUCUACCUCCAUACAGAAUCUUAGCAGUGUAAGAAAUGUUCUGCGGUUCUCCUUCCUCAUUUAAAUAUUUGGUCUGUGUUUAUAUUACAGACUUUUUCAGUCAUGUUUAAUUAUUCUGUCUUUCUAGUUGCCUGCCAAAGAGCUGUAUAAGGUCCACCUUCAAAAGCAAAUCAGAAAAAGUGACAUGAAUGGAUCUUAUACAGCUUCAAAUGGAGGAGAAAAGGCUUAACCUAAAAAAAGGCCAGACUUGAAAUUGAAUUGCUGGAGCACCAGCUUAAGGUGGGAAACAGUAUGUGAACAUUAAUCUGUCAUUUGUUGUUGAAUGAAAUCUAAAGCAAUAAAUACAAAUGUCUUUUGUUACAGGAAAUAAAGAAACCAUGAACAACACUUGACUGUUAACUGGUUUUAAUUA